CCUACGGGAGGCUGCAGUGAGGAAUAUUGGUCAAUGGACGAGAGUCUGAACCAGCCAAGUAGCGUGAAGGAUGACUGCCCUAUGGGUUGUAAACUUCUUUUAUAUGGGAAUAAAACGUUCCACGUGUGGGAUUUUGUAUGUACCAUAUGAAUAAGGAUCGGCUAACUCCGUGCCAGCAGCCGCGGUAAUACGGAGGAUCCGAGCGUUAUCCGGAUUUAUUGGGUUUAAAGGGAGCGUAGGUGGAUUGUUAAGUCAGUUGUGAAAGUUUGCGGCUCAACCGUAAAAUUGCAGUUGAAACUGGCAGUCUUGAGUGCAGUAGAGGUGGGCGGAAUUCGUGGUGUAGCGGUGAAAUGCUUAGAUAUCACGAAGAACUCCGAUUGCGAAGGCAGUUCACUGGACUGCAACUGACACUGAGGCUCGAAAGUGUGGGUAUCAAACAGGAUUAGAUACCCGGGUAGUC
rnacentral:rRNA from 1 species